rnacentral:misc_RNA from 1 species
AACGCACCUUGCGCUCCUUGGUAUUCCGAGGGGUAUGCCUGUUUGAGUGUCAUGAAAUUUUCAACCUGAUGGUCUGCUUUAGGUUAAUUCAGGCUUGGAUUGUGGGAGUGGCUGCUGGCUUUUUUUUAAUUUAGGAAAAGUCGGCUCUCCUCAAAUGCAUUAGCAAGACCGGGUGGCCUAGUACAUCAUCUCUUGGUAUGAUAGAUAAAUCUCUGUACCAUUGAGGGGGGAGAAGGCUACUUAAGAAAAUCUUGCUUAAAAAAGGCAUAUACUCGAUAAUUUUGACCUCAAAUCAGGUAGGACUACCCGCUGAACUUAA